UUAGAAUGUUUUCCAAACUGGUAUCUCCAUAUUCCAGGCCAGCGCCUGUGAGGGUGAGACCUUCCUGACUGGAAAGCAGACUAGUGUGCACUCUCAGGGAGGGUUGUCAGUUUGACUACCAUAAAAC